rnacentral:misc_RNA from 1 species
GAUGAAGAACGUAGCGAAAUGCGAUAAGUAGUGUGAAUUGCAGAAUUCAGUGAAUCAUCGAAUCUUUGAACGCACAUUGCGCCCCUUGGUAUUCCAUGGGGCAUGCCUGUUCGAGCGUCAUUUGUACUCUCAAGCUCUGCUUGGUGUUGGGUGUUUGUCCCGCGUUGCGUGUGGACUCGCCUUAAAGCAAUUGGCAGCCGGCAUAUUGGCCUUGGAACGCAGCACAUUUUGCGAUCCUAGUCAUACUUGUUGGCAUCCAUCAAGCCUAUACAUUAACGCUUGACCUCGGAUCAGGUAGGGAUACCCGCUGAACUUAAGCAUAUCAAUAAGCGAAGGA